CCCCUCUCCCUCAUGCCUCCUCUCUCUCUCCCUCAUGCCCCACACCCAAAGAACUUGGGCAUCCACCUUCUUCCACAUGCCCAAGGGUUGGGCAUUCCAUCCUUAUGCCAAGAGAGAAAGGUAUUCUCUCUUUGUCCCAUAGAUUCAAAGUUGCAUGCUGAUUUUUAUUGGAGAAGAAAGAUCAAGAUCAAGAUCAAGAAGAGCAUUCUAAAUCAUUCUCAUAGAUAU
rnacentral:lncRNA from 1 species